UACGGAGGGUGCAAGCGUUAUCCGGAUUCACUGGGUUUAAAGGGUGCGUAGGAGGGCAGGUAAGUCAGUGGUGAAAUCUCCAAGCUUAACUUGGAACUGCCGUUGAUACUAUCUGUCUUGAAUACCGUGGAGGUGAGCGGAAUAUGUCAUGUAGCGGUGAAAUGCUUAGAUAUGAACAUAGAACACCAAUUGCGAAGGCAGCUAC
rnacentral:rRNA from 1 species